rnacentral:rRNA from 1 species
GUGGGGAAUAUUGGACAAUGGGCGAAAGCCUGAUCCAGCCAUGCCGCGUGUGUGAAGAAGGUCUUCGGAUUGUAAAGCACUUUAAGUUGGGAGGAAGGGCAGUAAGUUAAUACCUUGCUGUUUUGACGUUACCGACAGAAUAAGCACCGGCUAACUUCGUGCCAGCAGCCGCGGUAAUACGAAGGGUGCAAGCGUUAAUCGGAAUUACUGGGCGUAAAGCGCGCGUAGGUGGUUUUGUAAGUUGGAGGUGAAAUCCCCGGGCUCAACCUGGGAACUGCCUCCAAAACUGCAUGACUAGAGUACGGUAGAGGGUAGUGGAAUUUCCUGUGUAGCGGUGAAAUGCGUAGAUAUAGGAAGGAACACCAGUGGCGAAGGCGACUACCUGGACUGAUACUGACACUGAGGUGCGAAAGCAUGGGGAGCAAACAGGAUUAGAUACCCGUGUAGUCC